rnacentral:rRNA from 1 species
GACGAACGCUGGCGGCGUGCUUAACACAUGCAAGUCGAACGGAAAGGCCCUGCUUUUGUGGGGUGCUCGAGUGGCGAACGGGUGAGUAACACGUGAGUAACCUGCCCUUGACUUUGGGAUAACUUCAGGAAACUGGGGCUAAUACCGGAUAGGAGCUCCUGCUGCAUGGUGGGGGUUGGAAAGUUUCGGCGGUUGGGGAUGGACUCGCGGCUUAUCAGCUUGUUGGUGGGGUAGUGGCUUACCAAGGCUUUGACGGGUAGCCGGCCUGAGAGGGUGACCGGCCAAAUGGGAAUUGGGAAAGGCCCCAGACCCCAACGGGGGCAGCAGUGGGGAAUAUUGCACAAUGGGCGGAAGCCUGAUGCAGCAACGCCGCGUGCGGGAUGACGGCCUUCGGGUUGUAAACCGCUUUCGCCUGUGACGAAGCGUGAGUGACGGUAAUGGGUAAAGAAGCACCGGCUAACUACGUG